UCGGUAAUUCCAGCUCCAAUAGCGUAUAUUAAAGUCGUUGCAGUUAAAACGCUCGUAGUUGAAUAUCUGCUAUAUGUGGUCGGUCCACUUCGGUGUGAUCCGUUCCACGAAAUAGCAUUCGUUUGCUUUGAUUUAUCAUUGCGAACCGUUUACUUUGAGGAAAUUAGAGUGUUCAAAGCAGGCAAGUGCCUUGAAUACUUCAGCAUGGAAUAAUUGAUAGGACUUCCGUUCUGUCGUUGGUUCUGGGAAUGUGAAGUAAUGAUUAAAAGGGGCGGGCGGGGGCAUUCGUAUUGAACAGUCAGAGGUGAAAUUCUUAGAUUUGUUCAAGACGAACUACUGCGAAAGCAUUUGCCAAGUACGUUCCCAUUAAUCAAGAACGAAAGUUAGGGGAUCGAAGACGAUCAGAUACCGUCGUAGUCUUAACUAUAAACUAUGCCGACUAGAGAUUGGAGGUGAGUCAUUUGGCCACCUUCAGCAUCUUCAGAGAAAUCUAAGUUUUUGGGUUCUGGGGGGAGUAUGGUCGCAAGGCUGAAACUUAAAGGAAUUGACGGAAGGGCACCACCAGGAGUGGAGCCUGCGGCUUAAUUUGACUCAACACGGGGAAACUCACCAGGUCCAGACAUGGGAAGGAUUGACAGACUGAUAGCUCUUUCUUGAUUCUAUGGGUGGUGGCGCAUGGCCGUUCUUAGUUCGUGGACUGAUUUGUCUGGUUGAUUCCGAUAACGAGCGAGAUCUUAACCUGCUAACUAGGUCUUCAGAAUGCGUUCUGAUGUGCCUUCUUAGAGGGACUUUGCAUAUUUAGUGUAAGGAGGUUUGAGGCAAUAACAGGUCUGUGAUGCCCUUAGAUGUUCUGGGCUGCACGCGCGCUACAAUGACACUCUCAGCGAGUUUCCUUUCCCGAAAGGGUUGGGUAAUCUUGUUAGUGGAUGUCGUAAUGGGGAUAGAAUAUUGUAAUUAUUGCUCUUAAACGAGGAAUUCCUAGUAAGCGCAAGUCAACAGCUUGCGCUGAUUACGUCCCUGCCCUUUGUACACACCGCCCGUCGCUGCUACCGAUGGGUGAUCCGGUGAAUGAUUUGGACUCGGUCUAUGCUAGCUACUAGCUAUGUCAGGGAAAACUUUGUGAACCUUAUCACUUGGAGGAAGCAGAAGUCGUAACAAGGUUUCCGUAGGUGAACCUGCAGAAGGAUCAA
rnacentral:rRNA from 1 species